rnacentral:rRNA from 1 species
AAGUCUCCUGAAGGAACGUUGAAGACGACGACGUUGAUAGGCCGGGUGUGUAAGCGCAGCGAUGCGUUGAGAUAACCGGUACUAAUGAACCGUGAGGCUUAACCUUACAACGCCGAAG